rnacentral:rRNA from 1 species
AACGAACGCUGGCGGCAUGCCUAACACAUGCAAGUCGAACGAGACCUUCGGGUCUAGUGGCGCACGGGUGCGUAACGCGUGGGAAUCUGCCCUUGGGUUCGGGAAUAACUUCGGGAACUGAAGCUAAUACCGGAUGAUGACGUAAGUCCAAAGAUUUAUCGCCCAAGGAUGAGCCCGCGUAGGAUUAGCUAGUUGGUGAGGUAAAGGCUCACCAAGGCGACGAUCCAUAGCUGGUCUGAGAGGAUGAUCAGCCACACUGGGACUGAGACACGGCCCAGACUCCUACGGGAGGCAGCAGUGGGGAAUAUUGGACAAUGGGCGAAAGACCUGAUCCAGCAAUAGCCGCGUGAGUGAUGAAGGCCUCGG